GAUGAAGAACGUAGCGAAAUGCGAUAAGUAAUGUGAAUUGCAGAAUUCAGUGAAUCAUCGAAUCUUUGAACGCACCUUGCGCUCCUUGGUAUUCCGAGGAGCAUGCCUGUUUGAGUGUCAUGAAAUUCUCAACCUUUUCAGCUUUCUUUGUUGAUCAGGCUUGGAUGUGGGAGUAUGCGGGCUUCUCAGAAGUCGGCUCUCCUGAAAUGCAUUAGCGGGACCUUUGUUGCCUGGCUUUGGUGUGAUAAUUAUCUACGCCAUUGUAGUCAAGCAGCUUAAAAUGAGGUUUCAGCUUCUAACCGUCUCCCCUGAGACAACUUUUUGACAAUUUGACCUCGGAUCAGGUAGGGAUACCCGCUGAACUUAAGCAUAUCAAUAAGCGGAGGA
rnacentral:misc_RNA from 1 species